rnacentral:lncRNA from 1 species
GCAGAUUUGGCAGGUGGUUUUGGUGGAUCUUUGACCGCCCUGCCUUGGAGCUCCCAUCCCAGGACUAUUGCUGCUUCUUCCAUAGUCGUUGCCACGACCACCAUGACCUUUUCUGCGACUGUUGCCGCAACCUCGUGGACCACUGCGUCCUCGCCUAGAGAAGUUGCCGGAUGACUGGAAUUGAGCGCCCUCCUGGUAUG